GACGAACGCUGGCGGCGUGCUUAACACAUGCAAGUCGAACGGACUGUUAGUGAGAGCUUGCUGGAUCUAACAGUUAGUGGCGGACGGGUGAGUAACACGUGAGAACCUAUCCCGACCCGGGGGACAACAGGUGGAAACGCCUGCUAAUACCCCAUAGGCGCAGAGAUGCGUGAAAGGAGCAAUCCGGGGAGGGAGGGGCUCGCGGCCUAUCAGCUAGUAGGUGGGGUAACGGCCCACCUAGGCGAUGACGGGUAGCCGGCCUGAGAGGGCGCACGGCCACAGUGGAAAUGAGACACGGUCCCGACUCCUACGGGAGGCAGCAGUGUGGAAUCUUGGGCAAUGGGGGCAACCCUGACCCAGCGAAGCCGCGUGAGGGACGAAAUCCCUUGGGAUGUAAACCUCUGUUGUGCGGGACGAAGGACGUGACGGUACCGCACGAGGAAGCCCCGGCAAACUACGUGCCAGCCGCCGCCGUAA
rnacentral:rRNA from 1 species